rnacentral:rRNA from 1 species
GAUGAACGCUGGCGGCGUGCCUAAUACAUGCAAGUCGAGCGAACAGACGAGGAGCUUGCUCCUCUGACGUUAGCGGCGGACGGGUGAGUAACACGUGGAUAACCUACCUAUAAGACUGGGAUAACUUCGGGAAACCGGAGCUAAUACCGGAUAACAUGUUGAACCGCAUGGUUCAACAGUGAAAGACGGUCUUGCUGUCACUUAUAGAUGGAUCCGCGCCGCAUUAGCUAGUUGGUAAGGUAACGGCUUACCAAGGCAACGAUGCGUAGCCGACCUGAGAGGGUGAUCGGCCACACUGGAACUGAGACACGGUCCAGACUCCUACGGGAGGCAGCAGUAGGGAAUCUUCGGCAAUGGGCGAAAGCCUGACGCAGCAACGCCGCGUGAGUGAAGAAGGUCUUCGGAUCGUAAAACUCUGUUAUUAGGGAAGAACAAAUGUGUAAGUAACUAUGCACGGCUUGACGGUACCUAAUCAGAAAGCAACGGCUAACUACGUG